UACGGGGGAUGCAAGCGUUAUCCGGAUUUAUUGGGCGUAAAGCGAGCGCAGGUGGUUUAUUAAGUCUGGUGUAAAAGGCAGUGGCUCAACCAUUGUAUGCGUUGGAAACUGGUAGACUUGAGUGCAGGAGAGGAGAGUGGAAUUCCAUGUGUAGCGGUGAAAUGGGUAGAUAUAUGGAGGAACACCGGUGGCGAAAGCGGCUCUCUGGCCUGUAACUGACACUGAGGCUCGAAAGCGUGGGGAGCAAACAGG
rnacentral:rRNA from 1 species